rnacentral:rRNA from 1 species
GAGCGCGCUAACUGCAGUCGAGCGGGGAAGGUAGCUUGCUACUUUACCUAGCGGCGGACGGGCUCGAGUAAUGCUUAGGAAUCUGCCUAUUAGUGGGGGACAACAUCUCGAAAGGGAUGCUAAUACCGCAUACGUCCUACGGGAGAAAGCAGGGGACCUUCGGGCCUUGCGCUAAUAGAUGAGCCUAAGUCGGAUUAGCUAGUUGGUGGGGUAAAGGCCUACCAAGGCGACGAUCUGUAGCGGGUCUGAGAGGAUGAUCCGCCACACUGGGACUGAGACACGGCCCAGACUCCUACGGGAGGCAGCAGUGGGGAAUUUUGGACAAUGGGGGGAACCCUGAUCCAGCCUUGCCGCGUGUGUGAAAAAGGCCUUUUGUUUGUAAAGCCUUUUUAGCGAGGAGGAGGCUACCCAGAAUUAAUACUCCUUGGAUAGGGGGACCUUACCUCCCCAAAAAUAAAUCCCGGAUAAUUUUUGUGCCAACAACCCGCCGGUAUUAACAAAAGGGGGGAAGCCGUUAAAUCCGGAUUUUAUCGGGGCCGAAAAAGCGCCGCCGUUAGGGGGGCCCCCUUUAUGUCCAAUUGGGGAAAAAUCCGCCCGAACCUUUAACCUGGGGGAAAAUCGGCAUUUCCACAUACCGGGGUUGGGUCUAUAAAAUAAUGGGGGAAAGAAGGAAUGGAUAAAAAAUUUCCCGGGGGGGAAGCCGGGUGGAAAUUUGUCCCUUAAAAAAUCUCUGGGAGGAAAACUCCCCAUAUGGGGGAAAGGGGAACCCCUCUCUGGGCCCUUAAAUAUACUAAACCUCUGGGAGGGUGCAAAAGACUUUGGGGGGGGCAAACACGGGAUUUAAAAACCCCCUGGGUGGAUCCCCUGCCCCUAAAACAAUAUUUC